rnacentral:rRNA from 1 species
UACGAAGGGUGCAAGCGUUACUCGGAAUUACUGGGCGUAAAGGGUGCGUAGGUGGUCGUUUAAGUCCGUUGUGAAAUCCCUGGGCUCAACCUGGGAAUGGCAGUGGAUACUGGACGGCUAGAAUGCGGUAGAGGGUAGUGGAAUUCCCGGUGUAGCAGUGAAAUGCGUAGAGAUCGGGAGGAGCAUCCGUGGCGAAGGCGACUACCUGGACCAGCACCGACACUGAGGCACGAAAGCGUGGGGAGCAAACAGG